rnacentral:rRNA from 1 species
GACGGAAGGUGCUAGCGUUGUCCGGAAUCAUUGGGCGUAAAGAGCGUGUAGGCGGCCCGGUAAGUCCGCUGUGAAAGUCGGGGGGCUCAACCCUCGAAUGCCGGUGGAUACUGUCGGGCUAGAGUGCGGAAGAGGCGAGUGGAAUUCCUGGGUGUAGCGGUGAAAUGCGCAGAUAUCAGGAGGAACACCGAUAGCGAAGGCAGCUCGCUGGGACGGUACUGACGCUAAGGCGCGAAAGCGUGGGGGGCGAACAGG